rnacentral:rRNA from 1 species
AACCAGCACCUCAAGUGGUCAGGAGGAUUAUUGGGCCUAAAGCAUCCGUAGCCGGCUCUGUAAGUUUUCGGUUAAAUCCAUGUGCUCAACGCAUGGGCUGCCGAAAAUACUGCAUAGCUAGGGAGUGGGAGAGGUAGACGGUACUCGGUAGGAAGGGGUAGAAUCCUUUGAUCUAUCGAUGACCACCUGUGGCGAAGGCGGUCUACCAGAACACGUUCGACGGUGAGGGAUGAAAGCUGGGGGAGCAAACCGG